rnacentral:misc_RNA from 1 species
GGAUAACUCAUCGUCUGAUCUAAAUAGAGCAAUAGAAGGUUUAAUUCGUGGUCGAGAAUUUACUCGACGACUAAAACAGAUUAUUAAAAUAUCUGGUGGUGAAGUUGAAAACAUUAUGGCUGAGGAUUUAGUUGCCAAAAUUCUGGAUUCAUUUUCUGAGACUCUCUCCGUUAUAAACAAUUCUGAUGUCGUCGUCGCUACGGCGGUGGAGGUCAAGUCGCCGGAAGAUUAUUCUAGUGGAAGUUGCAAGAGUUCAGAUCGAAGAGGAUGCUACAAGAGAAGGAAAACUUCAGAAUCAGACAUAAAGGAAUCCUCAGAUUUGGUGGAUGAUGGUCAUGCUUGGAGAAAAUAUGGACAAAAACAGAUCCUUAAUUCUACUUAUCCAAGGCACUACUUUAGGUGCACACAUAAAUAUGAUCAGAAAUGUCAAGCAAGCAAACAAGUACAGAAAAUCCAAGACAACCCACAAAGAUUUAGAACAACAUACUAUGGACAUCACACUUGCAAAGCUUUUCCUAGAGUUUCACAAAUAAUAUUGGAUUCUCAAAUUGAUGGAAAUUCUAAUUAUAUUAGUUUUGAUCAAAAUCAUACAUUUCCAUCAAUAAAACAGGAAACAAAGGAGGAAGUAGUUUUCAGAUUCUAUCCUAAAAUUGAAGAUCAAAUUCAAUCAUCAAGCUCUGAUUAUUUUCUUCCCAAUGAUCAUGAUCAUGAUCAUCUCACUCCAGCAACAUUUGAAGCCUCCGGCAGCCGUAUGACCUCGCCCGAUGUUAUUUCAUCUGGGGUUUACUCUUCUUGUACUACUACUAGCAACAAUGAUAAUCUUGAGAUAGAUAUAGAUUUUGAGGAGGGUCUUUGGAACUUUGAUCAAGUGUAGUGUAGGUAGCUUGAUAGAGAUGGUGUACAAAUUUUGUAUUAUUUUGACUUGGAGUUUGCAUUAAAGCAUUUUUAGGUUUGGUAUCAAAGUAUAAAUUUGACUUCCACAUUUUAUUAUUAGGUAAUGAUGCUAG